AGGAGUUUGGAGGAUGAGCAGAAAUGACCACAAGAUGGAGGCCCUUUAAUGGCCCUGUAAGAAAAGAAUUUUAAGAAAGCACUCCAUUCAUAUUGACAUUGGGAGCUGCUCCUUUGAUUUGUCAUUGAAUUGGAGAGUUGGAAGGGAUCCCAUGCGUCAUCUAGACCAGGCGCGUCCAACAGGUAGAUCGUGAUCUACCGGCAGAUCACUGGACAUCUGUGGUAGAUCACUGGUAGAUCACUGGCUCCCCACACAGAAGCUCAACAACUUUGACCUGAACCCCCCAAAAACGGGGGUAGAUCACUGCCAGAUUUUAAUUCAGAUCGCAGCCUCUUGGGAGCUGGCCACCCCUGAUCUAGACCAACCCCCUGUAAGAAUCUCAGGAUAUAGAUUCCCUGAAGUGGUAUUUGCUGGUGUAUGUUGAGUUUUGCGGUGCUUGCUUUUUUAGAGGAGCUCUGAGGGUCAGGAUAAGGAGGUGCUUAAGACAUGGUGGUAGUAGUACUAGUAGUAGUAGUGAUAAUAAUAAUAAUAAUAAUAAUAAUAAUAAUAAUAAUAAUAUACUAUUUAUACCCCGCCCAUCUGGCGGGGUUUCCCCAGCCACUCUGGGCAGCUUCCAACAGAAUAUUAAAAUACAAUAGUCUAUUAAAUAUUAAAAGGUUCCCUAAAAAAGGCUGCCUUCAGAUGUCUUCUAAAAGUCUGGUAGUUGUUUUUCUUUUUGACAUCUGGUGGGAGGGUAUUCCACAGGGCAGGUGCCACCACCGAGAAGGCCCUCUGCCCUGUAACUUGGCUUCUCGCAGCGAGGGAACCGCCAGAAGGCCCUCGGUGCUGGACCUCAGGCUGAACGAUGGGGGUGGAGAUGCUCCUUCAGAUAUACUGGGCCGAGGCCGUUUAGGGCUUUAAAGGUCAGCACCAACACUUUGAAUUGUGCUCAGAAACGUACUGGGAGCCAGUGUAGGUCUUUCAAGACCCGUGCUAUGUGGUCUCGGCAGCCGCUCCCAGUCACCAGUCUAGCUGCUGUGUUCUGGAUUAGUUGUAGUUUCUGGGUCACCUUCAAAGGUAGCCCCACGUAGAGCACAUUGCAGUAGUCCAAGCAGGAGAUAACCAGAGCAUGCACCACUCUGGCGAGACAGUCUGCGGGCAGGUAGGGUCUCAGCCUGCAUACCAGUUGGAGCUGAUAAACAGCUGCCCUGGACACAGAAUUGACCUGCGCCUCCAUAGACAGCUGUGAGUCCAGAAUGACUCCCAGGCUGCGCACCUGGUCCUUCAGGGGCACAGUUACCCCAUUCAGGACCAUGGAGUCCUCCACACCUGCCUGCCUCCUGUCCCCCAAAAACAGUACUUCUGUCUUGUCAGCACCAACACUUUGAAUUGUGCUUGGAAACUUACUGGGAGCCAAUGUAGGUCUUUCAAGACCGGAGUUAUGUGGUUAUAUGGUCUUGGCGGCCACUCCCAGUCACUUGAUUAUGUGUAAAGAUUGCUGGAGCUGAAUGUACUGGUAUUUUAGUGUCAGCAAUAUCUUAACGUUAUGCUUCAUGUGAUGCUGGGACAGAGCCUGAGACUUUUAAUUUCACAGUCGUGGGUUCGAGCCCCACGUUGGGCAAAAGAUUUCUGCAUUGCAUGGAUUACAUGGAAUUGGCGGAAAUGACUGGCAGAAUCCGAGACCAGGGAGAAGAGUCGGUGGAAGAAGAUUGGAAAAAAUGUAAAGCAUAUUUACAAAAAUAUAGCAAAAUUAAUGAAUGUUAGAAGGAUGCUGGAAUGAAGUUACAUGGCUUUAGCAGAAAUGUUAUAAAGAAUUAAGUAAAAAUGGAUUGUUAAUGGGCUAAAGUGUAAAAUUUAAGGUCAGAUUGGGUUAAGGUAAAUUAUAGAACAAAAAUUGAGUAAGAUGGAAAGGAUUUGCUGAAAUAGCUAAAAUUGAAUUAGAAUACAAAAAAGGGAGGUGCGAGGAGGUCGAUGAAACAAGUAAAUGAAAGGCAAAGAUAUGGAAUAUUGGAUGUGUGUUUUAGUGUUUUUGUUUCUUUUUGUUGUAUUGUUGUAUUUUUUUAUGUUUUUCUUUUUAUGUAUUGUAAUGUAUGUUCUGUUAAUUUCCUUGUUGUUGUUCUUUUUUCUUUUUUCUGUAAUCUUUAAACUUUUAAUAAAUAUUAUUUUUUUUAAAAAAAAUUCUGCAUCGCAGGGGGUUGGACUAGAUGAUCCUCGAGGUCCCUUCCAACUCUGUAGUUCUGUGAUGCUAUGAAUCGAUGACAUCAAUGGAGCGUUUUGGGAUGGGAUCCCCCAUAAAUCACCUGGUGCCUAACACAUGAUUAUAUUUGUGGCCAACAAAUACUGAAUUGGAGUGAAGAUUCUGAAGCAUUUUCCAACAAAUAAUUAGCAAAGUGAUGUUUUCCCCAGAAGGCAGAAGAAACUCCAUGACGGCAGCAGCCUCUGGGGUCCUUAUAAAUAUGGAAACCUCAGUUAUGAGGCACCACACAGUUUUUUUUGGCAUGCAGUGGCAAAAACAGACAAGUUUUCUUCUUCUCUCUCCCUCCUUCCCCCAGUUGAACACUCUCAUUUAGCAGCAGGCAUGACAACACGGGCAAGCGAGUGCAGUGAGAAACUGCUGAAAAGAGCUAAGCUAUCUCCUUAACAUUUUUUCAAGGGAUUAAUUUCACCUGCCUUUCCUGUUUUCCUGGCACGCUCUCUUUCCCCCUUUAUAAACUCAGCUGGGAAACUAUUUCAAGUCCCCAGCUCGAGGGAACAAGUUGUUUAAGGUCCAGGCUUUUACUCCCUUCCCCCUGCUACUUUUGACAAGUCACAAAAUUGUGAAGUUAGCAGAAAAGCGAGCUGGCAGACAGGGGGUGGGAGAUGCUUUCAUUCUUUGGAUGCAAUGAACUGUGGAAAAAACGGCCAUUGUAAUGGUAAAUUGCUCACAGAAGGGGAGAAAGGGCUGAUAAUCAAUAUAAAAAAAUAAUAAUGAAGCGCUGGUGUGCAUUUGAGGAGCUUGCUACCCAAAGCAUUUAAAUGUCUCUUUUUCCCCCUUUUUAUGCUGAAAAGCCACCGAUUGCAAAUGUUAAGGGAAAGAAUGAAGAGGUGAAAGGAAGGAUCUUGCACGGGACCAAUGUUUGCACGGGAAGAAAUGCUUCGUUUUCAAAAAGCUGCAUCCAAAAAGUUGGAAGUUCUGAGAUAGAAAUGACGGGCAAAUUGAGCUCUGCCUUCUGGACUUCUGCUGAGAAGGAAAACAUAUCCUCCUGGCAAUCCUAGCAGCCUGCGAUCCUGUAGACUAUGAGACAAUUCAUCAUGGACGUGAGGGAUUUUAAUCUUCUACUCUCUCCUCCUCCUCCUCCUCCCCAGACUCUUCCAGUCCCUGCUUUUGGCUUCAGUGAGUGCUUGAGAAUAUAAACAUGAGGAUGCUGGACAAUAUAAACAGGACUAUUAUUUCUUCUUCGGAAGCAAACUUAAC